CAGCCACCACCUCCACGGCUAAGGCAGAGUUCUCAAGAAAGGAAUAAACUGGGACGAGGGGCCCACCAAAGGCUGAGAUGCAGACCUGGUUGGAGAGGAUGGGAGACAAGGUGCCACAGACCAGGGCUGGCAGGCAAGAAACCUCCCAUUGGGGUGCAGUGAAACUUGCUACAAAACCACCUGUCGGGAUCUAGCAAAACCCCCUAGCGAUCCACCUGAUGGCAAAGAAGCCAUUUACUGGCAGCCACGCCACUGGGCCAAGAAGGAAAAGCAUCAGAACCGGGAGAGGACCCUCCUCUUGCAGUGUCUCUCCAGCACCCUCUUCUGCCAAGAAAAAAGGAGUUUGUGCCCUCAUUGGUAAAGAACACUACUAUACACUCCAGACAGUUCCAGAAGAAAAGUAUCAAACACCAGAGUGAGAAUUGAGAUCUAUGAUCUUGAGUUGGUAUCUUACUAAGAGAACUAGGAAUAAAAUUACGUAAGGAAUCAUAGUUAUAUUGGGAAUAAUGGUUUUGUUAACAUGUGACAUUAACUAGUUAUAUGUUAAUUAAUUAUAAUAAUAUAUAGUUGUUAUAAUAUCUCUAUAUGGUAUUCAUUCAUUCAUUCAUUCAUUCAUUGGAAUAUACACAUAUUCUUGUCCAGCCUUGACUAGAGGAGAAUUCUAGCCCACAAAUUGGUAUGGGGGAAAGAAUUUAUAAAGAGAGGACAAAAAUCUCAAGAAGCUGAAAAUAUUUAUUUAUUCAGAUACUGGGCUCAUAAUUAUUUUGAAGAUAAGUUAAAGAGGAUACAGAGUACUUAUAACCCAGUGAGCAAGAAAAAGCCUUGUUAGCUGACUAGUCAGGCUGGGGCAGAGACUGAAGCCCCAAGCGAAAUUCAAUUUGUUCUGUUUCUUGUCAUAACUUCAGACACUUUCCUGAUGCUUGCUGACAUUGGAAAUUAAGAAGAAAAGGAUCCCCUGAGAAGACGGCUUGUUUUUACCACAGAGAUUUUCUUAAUCUCUCAGGCUUGGAACUCCUAGUCCCAAGGCUUGUGAUAAUGGCAAUAUUUGUAAAACACAUUUUAGAAAAUUCCAGAAAGUCAUUUAUUAUGUUUAUUGUCU
rnacentral:lncRNA from 1 species